AGUGAACGCUGGCGGCGUGCUUAACACAUGCAAGUCGAACGAGAACGGAUUAUAGCUUGCUAUAGUUGUCAGCUAAGUGGCGCAUGGGUGAGUAAUGUAUAGGUAAUAUGCCUCUUACUAAGGGAUAACAAAUGGAAACGUUUGCUAAUACCUUAUACUCCUUAUUAACAGAAGUUAAUAAGGGAAAGAUUUAUUGGUAAGAGAUUAGCCUGUAUUGUAUCAGUUAGUUGGUGGGGUAAUGGCUUACCAAGACUAUGACACAUAACUGGUUUGAGAGGAUGAUCAGUCACACUGGAACUGAGACACGGUCCAGACUCCUACGGGAGGCAGCAGUGGGGAAUAUUGCACAAUGGACGAAAGUCUGAUGCAGCAACGCCGCGUGGAGGAUGACACAUUUCGGUGCGUAAACUCCUUUUAUAUGAGAAGAUAAUGACGGUAUUAUAUGAAUAAGCACCGGCUAACUCCGUGCCAGCCGCCGCAGUAA
rnacentral:rRNA from 1 species